GAUGAAACGCUAGCUACAGGCUUAACACAUGCAAGUCGAGGGGCAGCAUGGUCUUAGCUUGCUAAGGCCGAUGGCGACCGGCGCACGGGUGAGUAACACGUAUCCAACCUGCCGUCUACUCUUGGGACAGCCUUCUGAAAGGAAGAUUAAUACAAGAUGGCAUCAUGAGUUCACAUGUUCACAUGAUUAAAGGUAUUCCGGUAGACGAUGGGGAUGCGUUCCAUUAGAUAGUAGGCGGGGUAACGGCCCACCUAGUCUUCGAUGGAUAGGGGGUUCUGGAGAGGGAAGGUCCCCCCACAUUUGGGAACUGAGACACGGGUCCAAACUCCUACGGGAGGCAGCGGGUGAGGAAUAUUGGUCAAUGGGGCGAGAGCCUGAACCAGCCAAGUAGCGUG
rnacentral:rRNA from 1 species